CACAACGCCUGUAGCCUUUUCUUCACUAGUAGUAUCGUCGUCGCUCGUGUUGAGCAGCCGCUAGCACGUUUUCUUUCUGUGAUUUGCCGUCUCUUCUUCUCUUGCUCACAUUUCCUGUGCUAAUACGGAGCGCUUUUACCUCACAGCAAGAUGCCCCCGAAGGUACCACCACAGCCGGACUUCUCCAAGAUGGCGGCCGAGGCGCGGAAGAAGAUGAACGCGUACGGUGGCUUUGGCAACAUCAUUGGCAUGUCGGCCCUGGUCGGCGUCGGCUGCGUCUCCAUCUACGCCCUCUACAAGUCAAUCUUCUUUGUGCCAGGCGGCUUCCGCGCCGUCAAGUUCAACUGCAUCACCGGCCUUUACAACCGCACCUAUGGCGAAGGCGCCAACUUCGCGAUCCCAUUUCUAGAAACGCCUGUGGUCUUUGACAUCCGCAACAAGCCUAUCGAAGUGCCUACAGCGAGCGGUAGCCGUGACUUGCAGACGGUAAACAUGGCCGUGCGUGUGCUUUACCAGCCCAACGUCGAUAAUCUGUACCACAUUUAUCGCCACAUCGGCGUCAACUACGCGGAGACGGUUCUUCCCUCGCUCAUUAAUGAGAUCAUUCGCGCUGUUAUUGCGCAAUUCAACGCCUCUGACCUUCUCAUCAAACGUCCUGAGGUGAGCCACCGCAUCGGUGUAAUGCUGGCCGAGAGGGCGAAGCGUUUCAACAUUGACAUCACCGACGUCUCGAUCACUCAGAUGAGCUUUGGAAAGGAGUACACCAACGCUGUGGAGGCAAAGCAGGUGGCGCAGCAGAUGGCUGAGCGGGCCAAGUUCCGGGUGGAGCAGGCAGAGCAGGAGAAGCAGGCGGCCAUUCUUCUGGCGCAGGGUGAGGCUGAGGCUGCCACACUCGUUGGUAAUGCAGUGAAGCGCAACCCCGCCUUCCUGGAGCUGCGCGGGCUGGAGGCAGCUCGAACGAUUGCCAAAACGCUUCGUGAUCAUGGCAACGGUCGCUACUACCUCGAUAGUGACUCGCUCUACGUCAACGUCAAGGACCUAAAAAUCGAUCAUUCCGGGGCGAAGUAAUCGCGCGGCUUCACAAAGAGAAUGGAUGCGGCGUUGACGCACAUUGACCAGCUCUGCCUUCUUUUACCCCAUACAUCCCGUCGCGCUUGUUCACUGACCCCCUUCACACUUCCGCGUGCCCAGCAGCGCACCACACAAGGCCACCGCUCGAUCUGCGCAGUAGGAGCAAUAGUAGCGCAGUGGAGAGCUUCAAGCAAGUAGCACUGUAUCACCUGCUGUCGCGACAUGUGCGCCGCCUUCUCGAUUUCCGACGGCACGCGCACCUCCCUUCUUUACGGCACCGCUGUAUGUGCGAGUGCACGCAUCGGGUGCGCUUUCAUUCAUUCCCCUUCACCUCCCCAGCCGCUGCGCCCUUGUUGCCACAACCUUUUUCCACACGCUGUUUACUUGGUUAUAUAGGAUAGCACUUACUACCCCCACCCGUCACAAGUUUCUCACCCACAUUUACACCCCCCACCCCGCCAACUUAGCAGUGGCGCGAUGAGGGACGAGCAAACCAAAGAUGGGCAGACAAAGUACGCGGGACUGUCUUUUACCUCCUGCCUUCUUUCGCUGUCGCUGCCCCGUGAUUAUUGAAGGUGAUUCACAGGUGCCAGUGGGUGCAGUGGGCCCUCCGAGCAGGCGCGCACACUUGUGCACGACUCCCAACCUCGCUG
rnacentral:misc_RNA from 1 species